rnacentral:rRNA from 1 species
GACGAACGCUGGCGGCGUGCCUAAUACAUGCAAGUAGAACGCUGAAGGAGGAGCUUGCUUCUCUGGAUGAGUUGCGAACGGGUGAGUAACGCGUAGGUAACCUGCCUGGUAGCGGGGGAUAACUAUUGGAAACGAUAGCUAAUACCGCAUAAGAGUAGAUGUUGCAUGACAUUUGCUUAAAAGGUGCAAUUGCAUCACUACCAGAUGGACCUGCGUUGUAUUAGCUAGUUGGUGGGGUAACGGCUCACCAAGGCGACGAUACAUAGCCGACCUGAGAGGGUGAUCGGCCACACUGGGACUGAGACACGGCCCAGACUCCUACGGGAGGCAGCAGUAGGGAAUCUUCGGCAAUGGACGGAAGUCUGACCGAGCAACGCCGCGUGAGUGAAGAAGGUUUUCGGAUCGUAAAGCCCUGUUGUAAGAGAAGAACGAGUGUGAGAGUGGAAAGUUCACACUGUGACGGUAUCUUACCAGAAAGGGACGGCUAACUACGUG